AUACCAUGUUAUAUGCCCCUGCCCGGUGCUGACCCCAGGCGACGGCUUUGCUGCUGAACUGCUGUUUUUGCUGAACCUGCUGUCUGUUCGCUUGCUGAAGCUAGAGCUGUUGUUUUGUUGUACAGGAAAACUUUGUGAUGUUGUUCUGUAGCUGAAUCAAUGCUUUAGAUGCUUUGCUGUACACUGGAUCAAUUAGGAUAUGCAGAUUUCUAGUUGCAGAUCGGUUUAGCCGAAUCAACGUGACUAUAUAAAGAAUACUUGAAUGGAUGUGAAUGUACAAGAGAUAUUAGCUGUUUUGUUGUUGAUUUUCUAUUGUUGUACACAUUGAAAUUGCAGAUUGGUUGAAGAAAUCUGUGGAUUUUCCCCGAUAAAAGUGAGGCAUGAUGCGUUG
rnacentral:lncRNA from 1 species